rnacentral:rRNA from 1 species
CCGGGACCAUCCGGUAAGGCUAAAUACUCCCGAGAGACCGAUAGUGAACCAGUACCGUGAGGGAAAGGUGAAAAGCACUUCGAACAGAAGAGUGAAAUAGUUCCUGAAACCGUGCGCCUACAAGCGGUCGGAGCAGCGUAAGCUGUGACGGCGUGCCUUUUGCAUAAUGAACCUACGAGUUACCGUUGCCGGCAAGGUUAAGGGUCAUGAGGCCUGUAGCCGAAGCGAAAGCGAGUCUGAACAGGGCGUAUAGUCGGUAGUGGUAGACGCGAAACCAAGUGAUCUACCCUUGAGCAGGUUGAAGUCCGGGUAACACCGGAUGGAGGACCGAACCAAUAAGCGUUGAAAAGCUUCUGGAUGACUUGAGGGUAGGGGUGAAAGGCUAAUCAAACUUGGAGAUAGCUCGUACUCCCCGAAAUGCAUUUAGGUGCAGCCUUGACCAUUACUAAUGUGAGGUAGAGCGACUGAUAAGAUGCGAGGGCUUCACCGCCUAUCAAGUCUUGAUAAACUCCGAAUGCGCAUUAGUUUGAGGUCAGGAGUGAGGGCAUGGGUGCUAAGGUCCGUGCCCGAGAGGAGAAGAAUCCGGACCACCUGCUAAGGUCCCGAAAUAACAGCUAAGUUAAACUAACGAAGUCAGAUUGCUAAGACAGCUAGGAUGUUGGCUUGGAAGCAGCCAUUCAUUUAAAGAGUGCGUAACAGCUCACUAGUCGAGGAGUUUGGCGUGGAUAAUAAUCGGGCAUCAAGUAUUCUACCGAAGCUUUGGGAUGUUUAAACAUCGGUAGGGGAGCAUUCCACUCGGCGUUGAAGGUGAGGCGUGAGCCUUGCUGGAGCGUGUGGAAAAGCAAAUGUAGGUAUAAGUAACGAUAAAGGGGGUGAGAAACCCCCUCGCCGAAAGACUAAGGUUUCCUGAUCAACGCUAAUCGGAUCAGGGUCAGUCGGGUCCUAAGGCUCAGCCGAACGGCGAGGCCGAUGGCAGAACCGGUUAAUAUUCCGGUACUACCCUUUGGGGUGACGUGGAGACGCAGUCGUGACAAUGCCGCCAGCUGACGGAAUAGCUGGUUAAAGGGUGUAGAAGCUGAUUGUGGCAGGCAAAUCCACCACAAGAUUCGAACCUGACAGUAUGGAGCGUCCUUCCGGACAAUCCAACAGUGCAUGUAAUCAUACUGCCAAGAAAAUCCGCUAAACAUAACCUUCAGGGUACCCGUACCGCAAACGGACACACGUAGUCGGGUUGAAUAUACUAAGGCGCUUGAGUGAUUCACGGUUAAGGAACUAGGCAAAUUAACCCUGUAACUUCGGGAAAAAGGGUCCCUACCCGUUAGCGGGAGGGCGCAGAGAAUCGGUCCAGGCAACUGUUUAACAAAAACACAGGGCUGUGCGAAGUCGAAAGACGCUGUAUACAGCCUGACACCUGCCCGGUGCUGGAAGGUUAAGAGGAGAUGUCAUCGCAAGAGAAGCAUUGAAUUGAAGCCCCAGUAAACGGCGGCCGUAACUAUAACGGUCCUAAGGUAGCGAAAUUCCUUGUCGGGUAAGUUCCGACCUGCACGAAUGGUGUAAUGAUCUGGACACUGUCUCAACCGUGAGCUCAGUGAAAUUGUAGUAUCGGUGAAGAUGCCGAUUACCCGCGAUGGGACGAAAAGACCCCGUGAACCUUUACUAUAGCUUAUCAUUGAAUUUGGGCACGUGAUGUGUAGGAUAGGUCGGAGGCUUUGAAGCAGGCACGCCAGUGUUUGUGGAGCCGCUGUUGAAAUACGACCCUUCAUUUGUUUGAGUUCUAACUCGUGAAACGAGGACACUGAUUGGUGGGUAGUUUGACUGGGGUGGUCGCCUCCAAAAGUGUAACGGAGGCUUCUAAAGGUGCCCUCAGACCGAUUGGUAACCGGUCUCAGAGUGUAAUGGCAUAAGGGCGCUUGACUGGGAGACUAACAAGUCGAGCAGGUAGGAAACUAGAGCAUAGUGAUCCGGUGUUUCCGCAUGGAAGGGACAUCGCUCAAAGGAUAAAAGGUACUCCGGGGAUAACAGGCUGAUC